AUUGAACGCUGGCGGCAUGCCUUACACAUGCAAGUCGAACGGUAACAGGUCUUCGGAUGCUGACGAGUGGCGAACGGGUGAGUAAUACAUCGGAACGUGCCCGAGAGUGGGGGAUAACUAGGCGAAAGCUUUGCUAAUACCGCAUACGAUCUCAGGAUGAAAGCAGGGGACCGCAAGGCCUUGCGCUCACGGAGCGGCCGAUGGCAGAUUAGGUAGUUGGUGGGAUAAAGCUUACCAAGCCGACGAUCUGUAGCUGGUCUGAGAGGACGACCAGCCACACUGGGACUGAGACACGGCCCAGACUCCUACGGGAGGCAGCAGUGGGGAAUUUUGGACAAUGGGCGCAAGCCUGAUCCAGCCAUGCCGCGUGCAGGAUGAAGGCCUUCGGGUUGUAAACUGCUUUUGUACGGAACGAAAAGACUCCUUCUAAUAAAGGGGGUCCAUGACGGUACCGUAAGAAUAAGCACCGGCUAACUACGUGCCAGCCGCCGCAGUAAUAC
rnacentral:rRNA from 1 species